CAGGCUUAUUUCCAGAUCUCUGUCAUGGAUUUGGGUAUCAUCUAAGAGAUUUCUGGAUUGAAUGGGUUCAAGGGCAAGGACAGAUCAGGAAGAGCGUGGUG